AUUGAACGCUGGCGGCAGGCCUAACACAUGCAAGUCGGACGGUAGCACAGAGGAGCUUGCUCCUCGGGUGACGAGUGGCGGACGGGUGAGUAAUGUCUGGGGAUCUGCCCGAUAGAGGGGGAUAACCACUGGAAACGGUGGCUAAUACCGCAUAACGUCGCAAGACCAAAGAGGGGGACCUUCGGGCCUCUCACUAUCGGAUGAACCCAGAUGGGAUUAGCUAGUAGGCGGGGUAAUGGCCCACCUAGGCGACGAUCCCUAGCUGGUCUGAGAGGAUGACCAGCCACACUGGAACUGAGACACGGUCCAGACUCCUACGGGAGGCAGCAGUGGGGAAUAUUGCACAAUGGGCGCAAGCCUGAUGCAGCCAUGCCGCGUGUAUGAAGAAGGCCUUCGGGUUGUAAAGUACUUUCAGCGGGGAGGAAGGCGGUGAGGUUAAUAACCUCACCGAUUGACGUUACCCGCAGAAGAAGCACCGGCUAACUCCGUGCCAGCCGCCGCGGUAA
rnacentral:rRNA from 1 species